rnacentral:rRNA from 1 species
GGAAUUUUCGGCAAUGUGCGAAAGCCUGACCGAGCAACGCCGCGUGAACGAAGAAGGUCUUCGGAUUGUAAAGUUCUGUUAUAGAGGAAGAACGGUGUACGUAGGAAAUGACGUACAAGUGACGGUACCCUGUUAGGAAGCCACGGCUAACUACGUGCCAGCAGCCGCGGUAAUACGUAGGGGGCAAGCGUUAUCCGGAUUUACUGGGUGUAAAGGGAGCGUAGGUGGCAGGGCAAGUCAGAUGUGAAAACCCGGGGCUCAACCCCGGGAGUGCAUUUGAAACUGUCCAGCUGGAGUGCAGGAGAGGUAAGCGGAAUUCCUAGUGUAGCGGUGAAAUGCAUAGAUAUUAGGAGGAACACCAGUGGCGAAGGCGGCUUACUGGACUGUAACUGACACUGAGGCUCGAAAGCGUGGGGAGCAAACAG